GAAAUGCGAUAAGUAAUGUGAAUUGCAGAAUUCAGUGAAUCAUCGAAUCUUUGAACGCACAGUGCGCCCGCCAGUAUUCUGGCGGGCAUGCCUGUUCGAGCGUCAUUUCAACCAUCAAGCCCCGCGCUUGUGUUGGGGACCUGCGGCUGCCGCAGGCCCUGAAAACCAGUGGCGGGCUCGCUGUCACACCGGGCGUAGUAGAUUUUAUCUCGCUCAGGGCGUGCUGCGGGUUCCGGCCGUUAAAAAGCCUUUUUACCCAAGGUUGACCUCGGAUCAGGUAGGAAGACCCGCUGAACUUAAGC
rnacentral:misc_RNA from 1 species